rnacentral:rRNA from 1 species
GACGAACGCUGGCGGCGUGCUUAACACAUGCAAGUCGAACGGAAAGGCCCUGCUUUUGUGGGGUGCUCGAGUGGCGAACGGGUGAGUAACACGUGAGUAACCUGCCCUUGACUUUGGGAUAACUUCAGGAAACUGGGGCUAAUACCGGAUAGGAGCUCCUGCUGCAUGGUGGGGGUUGGAAAGUUUCGGCGGUUGGGGAUGGACUCGCGGCUUAUCAGCUUGUUGGUGGGGUAGUGGCUUACCAAGGCUUUGACGGGUAGCCGGCCUGAGAGGGUGACCGGCCACAUUGGGACUGAGAUACGGCCCAGACUCCUACGGGAGGCAGCAGUGGGGAAUAUUGCAUAAUGGGCGGAAGCCUGAUGCAGCAACGCCGCGUGCGGGAUGACGGCCUUCGGGUUGUAAACCGCUUUCGCCUGUGACGAAGCGUGAGUGACGGUAAUGGGUAAAGAAGCACCGGCUAACUACGUGCCAGCAGCCGCGGUGAUACGUAGGGUGCGAGCGUUGUCCGGAUUUAUUGGGCGUAAAGGGCUCGUAGGUGGUUGAUCGCGUCGGAAGUGUAAUCUUGGGGCUUAACCCUGAGCGUGCUUUCGAUACGGGUUGACUUGAGGAAGGUAGGGGAGAAUGGAAUUCCUGGUGGAGCGGUGGAAUGCGCAGAUAUCAGGAGGAACACCAGUGGCGAAGGCGGUUCUCUGGGCCUUUCCUGACGCUGAGGAGCGAAAGCGUGGGGAGCGAACAGGCUUAGAUACCCUGGUAGUCCACGCUGUAAACGGUGGGUACUAGGUGUGGGGUCCAUUCCACGGGUUCCGUGCCGUAGCUAACGCUUUAAGUACCCCGCCUGGGGAGUACGGCCGCAAGGCUAAAACUCAAAGGAAUUGACGGGGCCCCGCACAAGCGGCGGAGCAUGCGGAUUAAUUCGAUGCAACGCGUAGAACCUUACCUGGGUUUGACAUGGAUCGGGAGUGCUCAGAGAUGGGUGUGCCUCUUUUGGGGUCGGUUCACAGGUGGUGCAUGGCUGUCGUCAGCUCGUGUCGUGAGAUGUUGGGUUAAGUCCCGCAACGAGCGCAACCCUUGUUCACUGUUGCCAGCACGUUAUGGUGGGGACUCAGUGGAGACCGCCGGGGUCAACUCGGAGGAAGGUGGGGAUGACGUCAAGUCAUCAUGCCCCUUAUGUCCAGGGCUUCACGCAUGCUACAAUGGCUGGUACAGAGAGUGGCGAGCCUGUGAGGGUGAGCGAAUCUCGGAAAGUCGGUCUCAGUUCGGAUUGGGGUCUGCAACUCGACCUCAUGAAGUCGGAGUCGCUAGUAAUCGCAGAUCAGCAACGCUGCGGUGAAUACGUUCCCGGG